UCUGGGCUGUGGUUUCCCCAGUAACACAGAGACCUGUUUCACUGUAUGGAGCAAAUGAACAAGCAGGGAGCUCCUUUUUAAGCGCUUUCUCUGCUGGCUUUGCUGGCACUAUUCCUGCUCCAGUUGUGCAGGUGGAUUACUGACCACCAGAGGGCAUUCCUAAGGCUUUCUAGAAAGAUUAGAGGAGCACCGAUUUGUCAGCAGGACAUUACAGUGGCAGACAAUGUAGAGAAGUCGGAGUCUGAUCAGUUCUAAUGGAAUCCCAGUGUGGUGCAGCAGACAUGGAGUGCCCACAUCAGUUCUGCAUCAAGCAGAGUUCCUCAGAAGGCUCCAUGGCAGAGCCUGAAACCCACAGCCUUACAGGCAGGAACUGCUUCUAUCUUUUUCUGUCUCUGAUUUCUGCAGUCAUUGUGUAUAGGUCACCUAGACUGGAAAAGAAGAAAUAGCAACAACAACAAAAAUCCCCCUUACCAGCAACAAUAAGCCCCUGUCCUCCUGUGAGUAAGGGAGGCUGGGGAACAGAGAUGACAAUUAGCCAGGCUGUGUCUUGGAGCUCCCUGCUGUAGGGACACAUCCACAUAAAGUUGCUGCUGCAAA